rnacentral:rRNA from 1 species
GACGAACGCUGGCGGCGUGCUUAACACAUGCAAGUCGAACGAAGAGCGAUGGAAGCUUGCUUCUAUCAAUCUUAGUGGCGAACGGGUGAGUAACGCGUAAUCAACCUGCCCUUCAGAGGGGGACAACAGUUGGAAACGACUGCUAAUACCGCAUACGAUCUAAUCUCGGCAUCGAGGAUGGAUGAAAGGUGGCCUCUAUGUAUAAGCUAUCACUGAAGGAGGGGAUUGCGUCUGAUUAGCUAGUUGGAGGGGUAACGGCCCACCAAGGCGAUGAUCAGUAGCCGGUCUGAGAGGAUGAACGGCCACAUUGGGACUGAGACACGGCCCAGACUCCUACGGGAGGCAGCAGUGGGGAAUCUUCCGCAAUGGACGAAAGUCUGACGGAGCAACGCCGCGUGAGUGAUGACGGCCUUCGGGUUGUAAAGCUCUGUUAAUCGGGACGAAAGGCCUUCUUGCGAAUAGUGAGAAGGAUUGACGGUACCGGAAUAGAAAGCCACGGCUAACUACGUGCCAGCAGCCGCGGUAAUACGUAGGUGGCAAGCGUUGUCCGGAAUUAUUGGGCGUAAAGCGCGCGCAGGCGGAUAGGUCAGUCUGUCUUAAAAGUUCGG